rnacentral:lncRNA from 1 species
GGUGGGAUUCACCUAGUUAAGUUUGAAUAUUAUUAAUAAUAUUUAAACUUUUUUACUAUCGAUUUUUUAGCCGUUAAAUCUAUAUUUUGAUCACUUUUAUUCUUUAGAUCAUACUAUUUAAUUAACCAUCAAUUCAAUUCUAAGAGGAUCGUUAUCAUUCUAAUUCUAUAAUUUUUCAUCUAAGAAUUAAAAAUUUUAUAGCAAAAAAUAUUAGGUACUAUCAAUAGCAUUCCAGCCUAAUUCAGGUUUGAUAUGCUACUUCCGUGUAAUAAAGAUUUAGCUACUUGUUACAUCAAUAGAGUAUUACGUGGUUCUUUAGAGUCAAAUUUCAUAUUUAAAGGAUCUGACACUUUGACCAAAUUAGUUCACCUUUUUCUUCAUAUUUAGGUUGUGUCCCAUCAAUGAUUGAGAUGAAAAAUACCAUAUCCUGCAUCAAAAUAAUCAAAAAAGGCAGCAAACUAUCACAUUCUUAAUUAUCAGCAGCAUGGAUCAAAAACUUUGACUUUAUCAAAAAAUUUUUAUAGAAACUCUAGUUAGAUCAAAAAAAACAUUUAGGGCCUGUUUGGAUGUACAGUAAAAAAUUUUCACGAAAUUUAUAAACUGUAGUUUUGAUCCAAAUGAAAUUUGAGAAUUAAAAAUUAAAAUUAUAAAUUAGAAAUUUUAAAAUUUGAAAUUUAUUAUUUGUAAAAUAAAUUUAAAAUUUGAUAUUCGAAAAUUAAAAUUUGAAUUUAUAAAAUUAGAAAAUAUAAAAUUUAAAAGUUGACAUUUAUAUUUUGAAAUUAUAAAAUUUAAUUUUUGAUAUUUAAAAUUUAAAUUUCAAAUUUUAAAUUUGAAAUUAAAUUUUGAAUAUAAAUUAAAUUAUAAAAUUUAAAUUUUAUGUUGAAAUUUAAAAGUUAGAACUUGAUGCAUUUU